GACGUAGGGCGCAAGCGUUGUCCGGAUUUAUUGGGCGUAAAGAGCGUGUAGGCGGUUUGGUAGGUCCGUUGUGAAAACUCGAGGCUCAACCUCGAGACGCCGGCGGAAACCAUCAGGCUAGAGUCCGGAAGAGGAGAGUGGAAUUCCAGGUGUAGCGGUGAAAUGCGCAGAUAUCAGGAAGAACACCCGUGGCUAAGGCGGCUCUCUAGUACGGUACUGACGCUGAGACGCGAAAGCGUGGGGAGCGGACAGG
rnacentral:rRNA from 1 species